rnacentral:rRNA from 1 species
UACGUAGGGGGCAAGCGUUGUCCGGAUUUAUUGGGCGUAAAGAGCGUGUAGGCGGCUAGAUAGGUCCGUUGUGAAAACUCGAGGCUCAACCUCGAGAGGUCAUCGGAAACCAUCUGGCUAGAGUCCGGAAGAGGAGAGUGGAAUUCCCGGUGUAGCGGUGAAAUGCGCAGAUAUCGGGAAGAACACCUAUGGCGAAGGCAGCUCUCUGGGACGGUACUGACGCUGAGACGCGAAAGCGUGGGGAGCGAACAGG